GAUGAACGCUAGCGACAGGCUUAACACAUGCAAGUCGAGGGGCAGCAUAAAAGUAGCAAUACUUUGGUGGCGACCGGCGCACGGGUGAGUAACGCGUAUGCAACCUACCUAUCAGAGGGGAAUAACCCGGCGAAAGUCGGACUAAUACCGCAUAAAACAGGGGCACCGCAUGGUGAUAUUGGUUAAAGAAAUUCGCAGAUAGGUGGGCAUGCGUUCCAUUAGGUAGUUGGUGAGGUAACGGAUCGCCAAGCCGACGAUGGAUAGGGGAACUGAGAGGUUGGUCCCCCACACUGGUACGGAGCAACGGACCGGACUCCUACGGGAGGCAGCAGUGAGGAAUAUUGGUCAAUGGGCGAGAGCCUGAGCCAGCCAAGUCGCGUGAAGGAAGAAGGAUCUAUGGUUCGUAAACUUCUUUUGCAGGGGAAUAAAGUGCAGGACGUGUCCUGUUUUGUAUGUACCCUGAGAAUAAGGAUCGGCUAACUCCGUGCCAGCAGCCGCCGUAA
rnacentral:rRNA from 1 species